UCUUCCUUGGUCUAGUGGUCAUGAUUUCCGCUUGUCAACAUCGGCUUUAAGGGCUGGGUAACAAGCGCGGGAGACCGGGGUUCGAUUCCCCGAGGGAGAG
rnacentral:tRNA from 1 species